rnacentral:rRNA from 1 species
AUUGAACGCUGGCGGCAGGCCUAAUACAUGCAAGUCGAGCGGAGUGGCGGACGGGUGAGUAAUGCCUAGGAAUAUGCCUGGCCGUGGGGGCUAACGUCCGUAAGCGGGCGCUAAUACAGCAUACUUUCAGAUGAGCCUAGGUCGGAUUAGCUCGUUGCUGCGGUAAUGGCCUACAAAGGCGACGAUCCGUAACUGGUCUGAGAGGAUGACUAGGCACACUGGAACGUAGAAACGGUACAGACUCCUACGGGAGGCAGCAGUGGGGAAUAUUGGACAAUGGGCGAAAGCCUGAUGCAGCCACGCCGCGUGUGUGAAGAAGGUCUUCGGAUGGUAAAUCACUUUAAGUUGGAAAGCGUUACCUACAGAGAAAGCACCGGCUAACUUCGUGCCAGCAGCCGCGGUAAUUC